UACGGAGGGUGCAAGCGUUACUCGGAUUUAUUGGGCGUAAAGGGCAGGUAGGUGGUCUUAUUCGUCUGAGGUGAAAGCCUUGAGCUUAACUCAAGAAGUGCCUCAGAAACGGUAAGACUAGAGUUCUAGAGAGGGUCGUGGAAUUCCCGGUGUAGCGGUGAAAUGCGUAGAGAUCGGGAGGAACACCAGAGGCGAAGGCGGCGACCUGGAUAGAUACUGACACUAAACUGCGAAAGCGUGGGGAGCAAACAGG
rnacentral:rRNA from 1 species